GGUCCCGUAGCACAAUGGAUAGUGCAACAGAUUUCUAAUCUGUAGGUUACAGGUUCGAGCCCUGUCGGGAUCACCA
rnacentral:tRNA from 1 species